rnacentral:misc_RNA from 1 species
AUUGAAGGUUGAAACUCUGGAGACAAGAGCUUGUCAGCCUCAUCCAUAAUAAGCAUAGAACAGUCUUUCAGUACACAAACACCCUUUUUAGCAAGAUCUAAUAUUCUUCCGGGAGUUCCAACUAAUAAAUGAACUGGUUGAUAUAAUCGCAUGAUAUCAUCCUUUAAACUGGUACCACCUGUCGUAACCAUAACCUGAAUAUUCAAAU